rnacentral:rRNA from 1 species
GACGAACGCUGGCGGCGUGCUUAACACAUGCAAGUCGAACGGAAAGGCCCUGCUUUUGUGGGGUGCUCGAGUGGCGAACGGGUGCGUAACACGUGAGUAACCUGCCCUUGACUUUGGGAUAACUUCAGGAAACUGGGGCUAAUACCGGAUAGGAGCUCCUGCUGCAUGGUGGGGGUUGGAAAGUUUCGGCGGUUGGGGAUGGACUCGCGGCUUAUCAGCUUGUUGGUGGGGUAGUGGCUUACCAAGGCUUUGACGGGUAGCCGGCCUGAGAGGGUGACCGGCGACCAUGGGACUGCGAGACGGCCCAGAGUCCAACGGGAGGCAGUAGGGGGGAAUAUUGCACAAUGGGCGCGAGCCUGAGGCAGCAACGCCGCGGGCGGGAUGACGGCCUUCGGGGUGUAAAACGCUUUCGCCUGUGACGAAGCGGGAGUGACGGUAAUGGGUAAAGAAGCACCGGCUAACUACGUG